GGGCGGUUAGCUCAGUUGGUUAGAGUAUCACAUUGACAUUGUGAGGGUCACUGGUUCGAGCCCAGUACCGCCCACCA
rnacentral:tRNA from 1 species